rnacentral:misc_RNA from 1 species
GGAAACCUCAAUUAUCUCUGCUUUUAUGUAUGAUUGUUGGAAAUGAUGGUGGAGAUGAUUGCAUGCCAUACGAGAUUCUUGAACUUGUUAAAUCAUACCAGUUGAGUACUUUCAUCACAAAAGUUUGCAAAUAUGCUGCAACAUCAAAAGAAGAAUGGGAUGAACAAUGCAAGCUCUGGCCUACUUCGUAUCAUCCACCAACCUACAACAUCAGUGGCAUUACUGGAUUUAGUGAAGAGGAGUCACAAUCAGUUUUCAGCUUCAUGAGACACACCAUUAAUUUGGCAACAUCUUCUAUUGGUCAGGUGGUCAAUGCUGCUGUUAUUG